CAGGUCAGUCCAGUUUGGCUUCAGGUUCUAUUCUUCAAUACGUCCACUUAAUUCUGGACUCAACUUUCUCACUCUGACAAUUUCAGCCAACAAAUUCCUAGAAUAUGUUAUCUUGCAAAAGAAAGUGACAACUAUGACAUCUCAGUCCUUGAAGAGACCUGGUUAUCUUGCAACUGGACAAGGUUGGAUGCUGAAAACAGAAAGUUGUUUGAAAAUCUUUAGACCACCAGAAGGCCAGCUCCAACUCACCCUGACUACUGCUCUCAUCCUCUACUUAAGCUCAUUUGCUUCAAUCACCUGGCUUAUAUGGAGAAGGACACAAAACAACAUUUGGCGUCACUCAACUCCAGUGAUAAAAGUUAUUCCCUAAACCCCAGCUGAAUGGAUUCUAUUGGUCUGAAGGAUGGACAGAUGAGACUAUAAUGCACAGGAAGACAUGAAUACACGGAACUACUAAUUCAGCAUUACUUUCAGAAAUGACAGAAACAUAUAACAGGGCAAAAAAAUGUGAAGAAAGUGUUUAUGCUGCCAGUAUUGUAAUCACAGUGUAUUCAAGAACUCCACUGAUGUUUUAUAGAAUCCAGAUUUAUGAAGCCUGGAGAUUCACCAUAAACCUUAGCAUCAACUUGCUGAAGUGAACAGAAAUGACAACAGAUUUCUCCUCAACAGCAGGUCAAAGCUUUAAGUCAAAUGACUAAGAUGUCAAGUAUUAAAUCGACAACCAGUGAAUGGAUAAAAUAGUUUCCUUUCUGUUUAUACAGCAGGGCCUUCCA